rnacentral:rRNA from 1 species
GGGGGCAACCCUGAUCCAGCAAUGCCGCGUGAGUGAAGAAGGCCUUCGGGUUGUAAAGCUCUUUUGUCAGGGAAGAAACAGCAGCUCUAACACAGUUGUGAAUGACGGUNCCUGAAGAAUAAGCACCGGCUAACUACGUGCCAGCAGCCGCGGUAAUACGUAGGGUGCAAGCGUUAAUCGGAAUUACUGGGCGUAAAGCGUGCGCAGGCGGUUAUAUAAGACAGGUGUGAAAUCCCCGGGCUUAACCUGGGAAUUGCAUCUGUGACUGUAUAGCUAGAGUGUGUCAGAGGGGGGUAGAAUUCCACGUGUAGCAGUGAAAUGCGUAGAUAUGUGGAGGAAUACCAAUGGCGAAGGCAGCCCCCUGGGAUAACACUGACGCUCAUGCACGAAAGCGUGGGGAGCAAACAGGAUUAGAUACCCUGGUAGUCCACGCCCUAAACGAUGCUGACUAGUUGUUCGGGAUUUUAUCCUGAGUAACG